CUUGGUCAUUUAGAGGAAGUAAAAGUCGUAACAAGGUUUCCGUAGGUGAACCUGCGGAAGGAUCAUUAUUGAAUUCAAAUCAUCUGUGGCUUCGGUCCGGAUGUGCCAACAGGUAACACUGUUGGUAAUUCUAUCCAUAACACCUGUGAACUGUUGGAUGCUUGCAUCCACUUUUAUACUAAACAUUAUUGUAACAAUUGUAGUCUUAUUAUAACAUAAUAAAACUUUUAACAACGGAUCUCUUGGCUCUCGCAUCGAUGAAGAACGCAGCGAAAUGCGAUAAGUAAUGUGAAUUGCAGAAUUCAGUGAAUCAUCGAAUCUUUGAACGCACCUUGCGCUCCUUGGUAUUCCGAGGAGCAUGCCUGUUUGAGUGUCAUGAAACUCUCAAACCCAAGUUUUGGAUUUCGAUCCAUGCUUGAGUUUGGAUUUGGAUGUUUGCCGGUGAUAAGCCGACUCAUCUUAAAAGUAUUAGCUAGAUCUGUCUCUAUGACUGGUUUGACUUGGCAUAAUAAGUAUUUUGCUGAGGACAUCUUCGGAUGGCCAGGACCUAGACUAUUGUCUGCUAACUAAACCAUCACUUUAAGUGCAUCUUUGGAUGUUACUCAUUGUGUAACUUUGACAUCUGGCCUCAAAUCAGGUAGGACUACCCGCUGAGCUUAAGCAUAUCAAUAAGCGGAGGA
rnacentral:rRNA from 1 species